CGUGGGGUGGAGCAGCACGGUAGCUCGUCGGGCUCAUAACCCGAAGGUCGCAGGUUCAAAUCCUGUCCCCGCAACCA
rnacentral:tRNA from 2 species